rnacentral:rRNA from 1 species
UACGUAGGGAGCGAGCGUUAUCCGGAAUUAUUGGGUGUAAAGGGUGCGUAGACGGGAAAGCAAGUUAGUUGUGAAAUCCCUCGGCUUAACUGAGGAACUGCAACUAAGACUACUUUUCUUGAGUGCAGGAGAGGUAAGUGGAAUUCCUAGUGUAGCGGUGAAAUGCGUAGAUAUUAGGAGGAACACCAGUGGCGAAGGCGACUUACUGGACUGUAACUGACGUUGAGGCACGAAAGUGUGGGGAGCAAACAGG